AAUAUUGGACAAUGGGGGCAACCCUGAUCCAGCCAUGCCGCGUGAGUGAUGAAGGCCUUAGGGCUGUAAAGCUCUUUCAGUGGGGAAGAUAAUGCCGGUACCCACACAAGAAGCCCCGGCCAACUUCGUGCCAGCAGCCGCUGUAAUACGAAGGGGGCUAGUGUUGUUCGGAUUUAUUGGGCGUAAAGCGCACGUAGGCGGAUUGGUCAGUUAGGGGUGAGAUCCCGGAGCUCAACUCCGGAACUGCCUUUAAUACUGCCAGUCUAGAGUCCGAGAGAGGUGAGUGGAACUCCUAGUGUAGGGGUGGAAUUCGUAGAUAUUAGGAAGAACACCAGUGGCGAAGGCGGCUCACUGGCUCGGUACUGACGCUGAGGUGCGAAAGCGUGGGGAGCAAAC
rnacentral:rRNA from 1 species